CCCACUGUGACAUACCACUGCUUAGCUUGCAUCAGCAUCAGGAGGAGGUGGGCAGGCUGAUGGGCAUCAGGAAGCUGAAGAAGGAAAUGUGUGGAUUGGAGAGUUGAGUGGGGAGGAGCCUGAUGAAAUUCAGCAAGGGGAACCGUCUUAAACCCAGGGCAAGAAACGUAAAGUCAUUUGGCUGUCCCUUAUCUCUAAGGGCACCUGAUGCAUAAGUGGACUAGAGAAAGGAAAGAAAGAAAAACCUCCAAAGACCUACAGAUCAUCUUGCUGGCAGGAGAUACAUAUCUCAGCAGAGUGUGGAGCAUUUCCUCCAGUUUAUAGCAAGCCAAUCCAUUGGAUUCAAGUGUUCUGUCUACAGAUAAUUUACUUUUCAACAAGAUAAUGAAAAUCCAAACAUAUGACUGAAAUGGAAGAAAAUCCAACUCAAACCUGAAGAUUACCUGGGAGAAAUCCAAAUAGUGUCUUGUGUCUCUGCAAAAGGCAACAAUAAAAAUGUUGCAUUCCUCCGUUAGGAUAGCCAAAAGUCACUCUGAGCAUGUACUUCCACUGUGUUCAAUAUUGCUCAUCUUUGCACUCUACACAGUGGCAAGGUUCUUCUCUGCUUCUGUAUUCUGUGCCUAAACUGAAUGAAACUGAAUGAGUAUAAUGAACUCAUUUUCCCCAUAACACAAACCUA